CAAGUCGAGCGGUACAGAUCUAGCUUGCUAGAUGCUGACGAGCGGCGGACGGGUGAGUAAUGCAUAGGAAUCUGCCCGGUAGUGGGGGAUAACCUGGGGAAACCCAGGCUAAUACCGCAUACGUCCUACGGGAGAAAGGGGGCUUCAGCUCCCGCUAUUGCAUGACCCUAUGUCGGAUUAGCUAGUUGGUGAGGUAAAGGCUCACCAAGGCAACGAUCCGUAGCUGGUCAGAGAGGAUGAUCAGCCACAUCGGGACUGAGACACGGCCCCAACUCCUACGGGAGGCAGCAAUGGGGAAUAUUGGACAAUCGGGGCAACCCUGAUCCACCCAUGCAGCGUGUGUGAAUAAGGCCAUUUGGUUGGAAAGCACUUUCUCCGCGGAAUAAAGCCAAUUGGUCAAUAUGCAUUACGAA
rnacentral:rRNA from 1 species